UACAGAGGGGGCAAGCGUUAUUCGGAAUUAUUGGGCGUAAAGGGCGCGUAGGCGGCUUCGCAAGUGGAAUGUGAAAUCCCCCGGCUCAACCGGGGAACGGGCGCCGAUACGACCGUUCUCGAGGGACGUAGGGGGACCUGGAACUUCCGGUGGAGCGGUGAAAUGCGUUGAGAUCGGAAGGAACGCCCGUGGCGAAAGCGAGGUCCUGGACGUCUGCUGACGCUGAGACGCGAAAGCCAGGGGAGCGAACGGG
rnacentral:rRNA from 1 species